AUGUCCACCUCCACUGCCGCCGUCUUCUUUGGCCUCAACUACAACAUCUCUGAGCCUCUCACUCGGACGAACUACAUUCUCUGGCGAGCCCAAGCACGAUCCCAGAUAUUAGGCACCGGCUUGUAUGGCUAUAUCAAUCAAUCCAUCGAAGAACCUCAAACAAUCUCCACCAAAGAUAAAGAUGGCAAGGAUCAAGUAGUCUCCAAUCCUGCCUAUACCCCUUGGCUAGUCCAAGAUCAACAAAUCGUAGCAUACCUUAUCCACAAUAUGUCAAAAGAGGUACUUGUUCAAGUGGCCUCGCUUGAGUCAUCGCAUGCAAUCUGGGCUGCGUUGGCAAAUAUGUUCUCUGCAGUAUCAUUAUCCCGUGUCAACAAUAUCCGAUCUGCCCUCACCAAUGCACAGAAAGGAUCCCAGUCGGCCUCGGCGUACUUCGGCCACAUGUGCUCCCUCUCUGAUGAGCUCACGGCGGCGAGCAAACCACCCGGGGAGGGGAAGCUCAUCUCCUUCAUCGUCGCUGGGCUCGAUAUGGAGUAUCAACUGAUCAUCUCUACACUCGACGUCCGCACCGAGCCCAUCACCAUCGACGCACUUUUUUCACUGGUGGCGAACUUCGACCGACGGGUCGAGAUGUUCCAUGGGAACGGGCGAGUGGCUUCAAAUCAUCCACGAAUGCUACCUCUAGGGGUCGCUCGGGCGGCAACAAAGGAGGCUACCGCAACCAGAGUGGGGGUCGCAGCGGCGGCUACCCUGGUGGUGGAUCUGGUAGCGGUGGCCAUCGCGCCGGUGGUGGCUAUGGCGCUGGUGGCGGUGGCUAUGCUGCUGGCGGAGGCGGCUGCAGCAAUGGUGGUGGCCCUGGUGGCGGCUAUCACUAGAACAGGGGCGGAGGAGGAGGAUAUCAGGGUGGUGGUGGUGGUGGCAGUGGUGGCUACUACUAUCACCAGAACAAUUCAGGCGGCAGCAAUAACUAUCGGCGCCCCCCGGCAACAACAACAGGGGGCACAACAGUAA
rnacentral:rRNA from 1 species